rnacentral:piRNA from 1 species
AAUGUGCUCUACAAUGCUUUUGCUCAAUGGU